rnacentral:rRNA from 1 species
AAGCGGCAACAGCUCAAAUUUGAAAUCUGGCUUCGGCCCGAGUUGUAAUUUGUAGAGGAAACUUUUGGUGAGGCACCUUCUGAGUCCCUUGGAACAGGGCGCCAUAGAGGGUGAGAGCCCCGUAUAGUCGGAUGCCGAUCCAAUGUAAAGUUCCUUCGACGAGUCGAGUAGUUUGGGAAUGCUGCUCAAAAUGGGAGGUAAAUUUCUUCUAAAGCUAAAUAUAGGCCAGAGACCGAUAGCGCACAAGUAGAGUGAUCGAAAGAUGAAAAGCACUUUGAAAAGAGGGUUAAAUAGCACGUGAAAUUGUUGAAAGGGAAGCGUUUGUGACCAGACUUGCGCCGUUCCGAUCAUCCGGUGUUCUCACCGGUGCACUCGGGGCGGCUCAGGCCAGCAUCGGUUUUGGUGGGGGGAUAAAGGUCCAGGGAACGUAGCUCCUCCGGGAGUGUUAUAGCCCUGGGCGUAAUGCCCUCGCUGGGACCGAGGUUCG